CUGCCUUGUCCUUGCCUGCAGAAGUGCAAAUCACAUGUAUUUCUCAGCAGCUUUGAAUUCUGUUCUGCUGAUAAUGAUACUCAAAAACUCAGUGAAGGAGGUGAUCUAAGAAUGAAUGAGGUGCUGCACAAAUGUUGGUGAAACGGAAAUACUCAGGGAUUCUGGAAGGGAAAAUAUGGUCAUGUUCCAAGAAGAAAGAAGAUAGACGCUGUGCACCUGUUUCAAAAGAUUUGGAAGAGAGAUUUGAGGAAAGAAGACCUAGCAAUCAGCAGAAUACUCGAGAGCUUCUGGCAUGGUGAAAUACAAAGGCUGGUAAAUGAGGUUGGAGAGGGGAAGAUUCUUCGCGUUGAGGCAGGUGGUUAGUGAUAGACAGGAGGUUGGAUGGGAUUUUGAUGGUAAGGUGUAAGGAGGGUGCAUCUCCACGUGUGCUAAGGACCAUGCAGAUAUUAGAACAUAUCUUCACAUCUGAGGUGUGAGUUGCCUGGAAGGUAUGCUAGUGUGUCCAGUGCUAGCAAGCCCUUGUGGCCAAAAAUUCAAAACCUCCUGUCUUUCCACCAGUAAAACGAAAGUUAUUGAAAAGCAGAGCAAAAUAAAGGUGGCUUACAAUAUACCCUCACCUUGAAGCCAUCUUCUUGAGCAUCUCCCUGAGGCUCUUCUUAAGCCUCUUGAGGCUUUUGGAAGUACAUUCUCAAGCAUAUUCAUACAGCUACAGAAAUAAGGAAUUUAUCUCUUUUUUUUUAAUCUUAUUUUUUAACACUUCAAAGCUUGUGGAACUCUGGGCAAAACUCUGAAUUUUUCAGGUCAGUUACCAUUGCAGGAGUUGGCUGCAGUGACUUACGUGGUAUGGCACUGUUAGCACGGGGAUUGAACUUUAGGGGGUUGCUUUCUCUAAGGUUUGUUCUUUCUCAUCUCCUUAUAUAAGGACUUUCAUUUCUAUCCUCACUAGGGAUAAAAUUUACAAAAUACUUCCAACUAUUCUUUUUACAAGACGUUUCUGAUAUUCAAUCAGAAUCACAGAAUCAUAGGAGUUGGAAGGGACCUCUGGAGAUCAUCUAGUCCAAACCCCUGAUAAAACAGUUCCCUAAAAGUUCUGUUACCAAAGGACUCAAGUUGUGCCAGGGGAGGUUCAGGUUGAUAUAUUAGGAAAAAUUUAUUCUCUGAAAGAGUGGUGAGGCACUGGAACAGGCUGCCCAGGGAGAUGGUGAAGUCACCGUCCCUGGAGGUGUUCAAGGAAUGUUAGAUGCUGUACUAAGGGACAUGGUUUAGUAUUAGGGAAAUAUUGGCAAUAACUGGAUGGUUGGACUUGAAUGAUCUUGCAGAUCUUUUCCAACUUUGGUGAUUCUAUGACUGAUCUAUUUAUCAGGAAAAUUUUAGAUUUAUAUCAGAAAUAAGAAUUUUGUAGUAAUUUUUAUUUUGUAAUUGGUUUCCUUAGCCACUCGGUAAAUGGAGAGAAGCACCUGUGUUUUUAAUUUUGAUGCUUGCUACAAUUUCUGACUUCAUAGGAUUUGAAGAGUCCUAGCCUCUUCCUCUCAAAGAAAACCCCCAAAGCAAAAACUUAUGACUUUAUAGAACUCCCAGCAGGCCAAUUGGAAUAAAGGCACUGUCCUAUGGCUGUUUUGGUAUCAUCUGUGUGAGGCGCCUUAUUUUGAUUCUCUGACGUCUUUCAGAGGAUUUUAUUUGAGCACACAGCAAUUACAGAAGUUAUCCUGUAACCACAAUAUCCUUUUCCAUUCAUUCUUUGUAAGAGACAAAAGUGCUGCCUAAUUUCAAAGAAGAGUAAAUGUGUCCUCUGCUGGCAAAUGGGCAGCGGGUGACAAUAAAGGUUGUGGUAGUUUUCCUACUUAGCAUCUGAAAUAAGAAGAAAGCAGUGCUGCACAUGUUCUACUAGCAUGAAAUAGGGGGCACAUGUGGCGUAUUCCAGGGUCUUUCAGUGAAGUCAGACUACGAAACAGAGAAAACCAACCCUUGUGGAGUGGUAUUGUUCCAAAGCAUAAGAGGGCUGUUCGGAAAGUAUUGCCUCCCAUGUUAUUGUGUUGGCCCACAAGGUCAGAGGAAGAUGUUGGUAUAGAAGUAAAGACUGAACCUUCACACCAGUAUUCCAUCACUUUUUGUUCCUGUGUAAUAGAUGGCAGCAGAGGGGCAGUCCAACAGUCAAAUAACUGGUGCAAUGAUCAUGGCCUAUAUGUAAUUGCUUUUAAUGUGUAGUUUUCUGUAGAUAUAUGUUUGAGUUGAAAAAAAAAUAAUAAUAAUGUGGCUAGUCUCUGGACCACUUAAAAUGUCUUGGUAUGUUGUUUAUUUUAUCACUAUUUUAGAAUCAUGGCUGACAGAAGUAUUCUUUUAGGAGAUGGGAGAGAAAGAGCAUCUGUGACCAUUUCAUUGGAUAAGAGGAGUAGAAAACGGAGCUAGUAAUGAAUGAUAGCUUGGUGAAAUACAUCUUUGAAGUUUAUAACACAAGCAUAAAUUCGCAAAACUUUGACUGAAAGGUAAAGUUUUUUACAACAGUAUGGUUCAUAUGUUUUGUUCUGAGAAUAAGAUUGUUAUCAAAUGACGCACAUUGCUGCCAGCACUGUUCUAUUGACAAAAUGUUUAUGUGGAUACUUUGCUGUGGAAAUAUUUCCUCUCUUAUCCUGAUGAUGCUGAUGAUACCAAUCAGAGCAGAACCCUCCUCCUGGGUGCAUGUGCACCUCUUAAAAAUCCAUCUAAUGAUGCAGUUCUGAAUAAUGGUUGCUUACUAUACUGCUUACUGUACACUUGCUAAACACAAUCUCACUCAUCUCUGUGCAGGGCCAUUCUUCUCUUUGGUUCUACAGACAGAAACUAGUUAAUAUAAAUUUAAUUUUCAAAUGUAGCACGCUGGGAGAAUAAGGGCUCUUAUAUCCUCUAUUUGUGAAGUAUAUUUUGCAGAAUAUUUUGCCCUUGUAGUUGAGAAAAAGGAAAAUGAGAUGCCAGGUCUAAGCCAUCACAACACAAUAUAUUAAGAGGAGGCAGUAUUUCUCCCAGUUUAUGUUAAUAUGCAAGGCUGUGAACAGUGAUGGUGGAAGGCUGUGCUAUUUCACACAGAGGUGUAUGGCACAUGAAGAAGUUUCUUCCUGUGCAAGAGAGCAAUGGCCUCUUCAGCUAAGUCUGUCUUUCCACAGAUAAGUCUGACAGAGCCCGUGAAUCAGAACCUCGGAAUGUUCUAAGGUCUCCUUCACAGAUAAUACAAAGAUGUUUUGUAUUUGUUCUCAUAUCUAAACUAUUCAGAAUCAGUACAGCCCUCGUCCCUUCGUUCCUUGCUUUUGCAAUGAUGUUCUUCCACUCCGAUUGGGCAAGUGUUAUAUAAAACACCAUGUGACUUGAUGAUAGGAAUAUUUCGUUCACUGAAGUCCUCAGUAAUCAUGAGGCAAAGUCCAUUUGAUCCACCAAAUGAAUAUUCAUUAGUGGUCAUGCACAUAGCUAUGUGGUAAUUAAAUGCUUCUUUUCUGGUGACCACAUCCUCCUGAUCAAGGAAAAAGAGGCAGGGAAAAAAAGGGGAAGCAAAUAGGAAUUACACUGCUAUCGUGCUGGUGUUGGGAGAGGAAGGGGAGAAUAAGCUUCCUAGUGUUUUAAGCUUCUCUCUUCCCAAACAGAUAAAUAAAUCAAUGGCUGUGUCUGCAUUUACAGUAAAAAAAGGAAUUCUGUUAUCCAUGAGACCUGUCUAUAUAGGAGGUACAAUAGCACUCCUCUUUCUCCUGGCUUUGUUUUCAGUGUUUUAUAUUUUGAAAUGUCUUCUGCAAUGUCUUUUCUGCAUAAGAACAUAAAAACUAGGAAGUGUACUUGUGCAGCUUCUUUUGCUGCUUUGUCAGUCUGAAAUCAAUGUUUGCAAGCAGCAAUUUCUGUUAAGACAAGAAUUCAGUGCUCUUAAAAAUGAGGAAUUGUGUGAGCUGAGUAGGCUUUUUGGUGAAGGCAUGCAUCCACACUAAAUGGAUGUGUGUAUGUAUGUAUUUAUAUGCAUGCACAGAAAUCAGGCCAUCUGCAGGACUGUUCAAAUAAAAGCAACUGAAGUUAAUUCAAUUAAUGCUGUUCAAAGGACGAUGCCUUUAGCAAUCUCUUCUUCCCUGUAUUCUUAGUAUGUGGGAAGGAUUUUCUUUCUAGCUCUGUACGUUGGGCAUUUUUUUUUUUUUUGACAAGUCAUUCCUCAGUUCAGAUUUUUCUUAGCUACAGCAUUCGCCAAGACAUUAUUUCUUAUGUAGUUCUACCAAUCUAGUUCAACUUUUUCCAUUCAGAACAUGCAUCUUUCUCUUUCCUAGGGUAGGCACCCUCAUAAAACUAUGGUGUUCUUUUUUUU